CCCACUCAUUUACCUUUCACUUCCGCCUUUUCCGAUUUCUGGCUUUCUGGUCCUACAUGCGCAGUAUGCACACAGUAGUACAGCAUGCAGUAGUACAGUACAGAGCUAUAUAGACGCUCAAGUAUCCCUGCAGCAUGUCUAGAUCUACUGUUGAUUGAAGCAUAGAUAGUAGAAGAAGUAAAGGAGUAGUCUCUCGAAACAUGUCUGUCGAUUCAUUCCUCUACUAUAAUUAUAGUCUAUCUGAAGCAACAAUUUAAGAAAGGUAUGGAACAGCUGGUCCAGGUCUCCUUGGUGUCCUUUCACUCCCUACACAAAGUACAAGCGUUUAAACAUUCUCGGUAUGGCUCCGUUGGUAUCAAGUAAACCUGAAAAUGCAUUCGUUGGUCCAUUAAACUUCCUAUUUCAGUGGGUGGACCAACGGGCUGGACAACAAGCAAGAAAAUAGUUUACUUACUUUGUAUACAUUCUUUUUUAUAGCCGUAUCCGAGCUCAUUUAAAAGCUUGGUGUCUUCGUUGGCAUCAGGAAAACCUGCUCGUUGGUCCAUACAGGAGGCUGUUUCUGGAAACUAGGUGGACCAACGGCCUGGACGACAAGUUGGUGUGAUUAUGAGCUCAUUUCAAAGCUUGGUGUCUCCGUUGGCAUCAUUAUAAACUGGAAAUCCUGCUUGUUGGUCUAUGAGGUUUCCUGUUUCUGGAAACUGGAUGGACCAACGGCCUGGACAACAAGUUGGUGUGAUUAUGACCUCAUUUCAAAGCUUAGUGUCUUCGUUGGCAUCAUUAUAAACUGGAAAUCCUGCUUGUUGGUCUAUGAGGUUUCCUGUUUUUGGAAAUUAGGUGGACCAACGGCCUGGACGACAAAGCUUAGUGGCUCUCCGUUGGCAUCAUGCAGUUAUACUAAAAAACCUGGACGUUGGCCCAUAACCUUUUCUGUUUUUGGAAACUGGGUGGACCAACGGCCUGGACGACACUGACAGGCUCUCAGCCUCCUCAUGACGUAAUCUACCGUUGGUCCAUUCAUCAGAGUCGAUUGUAAACAAUCUGGAAAGUGUAAUAACUCACUCUCUAACAACGUCUGCAAGAACUGAGUCAGAGAAAAUCUUUGUUACAAUCCCGCCAGAAGGUGAUUACGUAACAAGACAAGGAGUGUUUCAACGGAUAUCAUUGAAACUGUCGUUCGUUUCCAAUCCCUCCCUUUUCUAUCUAUGGUUCAUGCAUGUGUUCACAGAUCACGUCCAGUUCAUCAGCAAAACUCUGACCAAUGCAUGCACCAUGCAGAAGGCCCACUCGUUAAUGCAGAAUGAUGCCAGGCUCAAAGAUAGUUACUCCAAGCUCUGAUGUUGAAGAAUAUUCUGGAAAUUGCUCUGUGUAGCAUAAUUUCAUGU